GUUGAACGCUGGCGGCGUGCUUAACACAUGCAAGUCGAUCGGUAACAGGUGGUAGCAAUACAUGCUGACGAGAGGCGGACGGGUGAGUAAUGCUUGGGAAUCUGCCUAUUAGUGGGGGACAACCCGGGGAAACUCGGGCGUAAUACCGCAUACGCUCUACGGAGGAAGCCGGGACCGCAGGCUGGCGCUAAUAGAUGAGCCCAAGUCGGAUUAGCUAGUU
rnacentral:rRNA from 1 species